CGCCGCGAUGGGGAUGGGGUUCCCCCGAAACCGCCCAACGCCGCGUCCAGAACGAUUGGCGUAAGGGCUGAUGACUCCUGCCGAACA
rnacentral:ncRNA from 2 species